rnacentral:rRNA from 1 species
AUACAGAGGGUGCGAGCGUUAAUCGGAAUUACUGGGCGUAAAGCGCGCGUAGGCGGCUUACUAAGUCAGAUGUGAAAUCCCCGGGCUCAACCUGGGAACUGCAUCUGAUACUGGUAAGCUAGAGUUUGGGAGAGGGAAGUAGAAUUUCAGGUGUAGCGGUGAAAUGCAUAGAGAUCUGAAGGAAUACCAGUGGCGAAGGCGACUUCCUGGCCUAAAACUGACGCUGAGGUGCGAAAGCGUGGGUAGCAAACGGGAUUAGAUACCCCAGUAGUCC